rnacentral:lncRNA from 1 species
AAUAGACAUGAGCAACAUGGACAACUUGACCUCUCCCUAUCCUGGUUUUCAGUACGACAAUGACGCAAAUGGCCGUGCAGCCUACGCUGCGUCGCUGCCAUGGUGUCGCCUACUUAGACGUAGUCAUCCAAAGAGGAAAAAUAGAUCGGCUCACGAAUUCAACCUGCAAGCGCGUAGAUCGAGAAGUGCUUUCAACACGAUAAAUCCAAGGUUUCAACUCCAGAUCCCAGAAUUUCUACCUAGAUGGGGAAAACCCCGCGGUACGGUCUCGCUACGCCGACAAACACUCGACCGAUGGGGCGCCAGAAUGUGGGGGCGGAGCCGGCGGCUGGGUUGUCCAUGGCCACCCGCCGGGCGCCCGGACCCCGGAGUUGCUUGUGCAUUGGAACCGUCGAUCUAAUGGGGACAGCCAUGG